rnacentral:lncRNA from 1 species
GUAGAAAUUUCAUAAAAUUUGGUUGAGGCAAACUCAAGUAAGAGAACAAAACCGAAAAAUUCAUCAGUUUUUCCAUUUGUAAAGGGCAUAAUUCUAACCUUUUUGGCAUUGUGUUAUCAUCCUUCUUAAGAGAUUUAACAUCUAAUGUAUCACUGCUGCUAUUUUAAUUCACAUUAUUACUAGUACAUCAAGUUUCAAAAAAGUAUUUUCAAACUGUUGGACUGUGCAGUAUUUAUAUAUGUUGAUUCAUGUUGUCCAGAAA